CCUCUUGGACUGGGACAACUGUUGGAAACGACAGCUAAUACCGGAUAUUAUGAGAUUCUCGCAUGAGAAACUUAUGAAAGCUAUAUGCGCCAAGAGAGAGCCUUGCAUUCCAUUAGCUAGUUGGUGGGGUAACGGCCCACCAAGGCGACGAUGGAUAGCCGGCCUGAGAGGGUGAACGGCCACAAGGGGACUGAGACACGGCCCUUACUCCUACGGGAGGCAGCAGUGGGGAAUAUUGGACAAUGGGCCACAAGCCUGAUCCAGCAAUUCUGUGUGCACGAUGAAGGUCUUCGGAUUGUAAAGUGCUUUCAGUUGGGAAGAAGAAAGUGACGGUACCAACAGAAGAAGCGACGGCUAAAUACGUGCCAGCAGCCGCGGUAAUACGUAUGUCGCAAGCGUUAUCCGGAUUUAUUGGGCGUAAAGCGCGUCUAGGCGGAAAAAUAAGUCUGAUGUUAAAAUGCGGGGCUCAACUCCGUAUUGCGUUGGAAACUGUUUUUCUAGAGUACUGGAGAGGUGGGCGGAACUACAAGUGUAGAGGUGAAAUUCGUAGAUAUUUGUAGGAAUGCCGAUGGAGAAGUCAGCUCACUGGACAGAUACUGACGCUGAAGCGCGAAAGCGUGGGGAGCAAAC
rnacentral:rRNA from 1 species